rnacentral:rRNA from 1 species
AGUGAACGCUGGCGGUAGGCCUAACACAUGCAAGUCGAACGGCAGCACAGUAAGAGCUUGCUCUUACGGGUGGCGAGUGGCGGACGGGUGAGGAAUACAUCGGAAUCUACUUUUUCGUGGGGGUUAACGUAGGGAAACUUACGCUAAUACCGCAUACGACCUACGGGUGAAAGCAGGGGAUCUUCGGACCUUGCGCGAUUGAAUGAGCCGAUGUCGGAUUAGCUAGUUGGCGGGGUAAAGGCCAACCAAGGCGACGAUCCGUAGCUGGUCUGAGAGGAUGAUCAGCCACACUGGAACUGAGACACGGUCCAGACUCCUACGGGAGGCAGCAGUGGGGAAUAUUGGACAAUGGGCGCAAGCCUGAUCCAGCCAUACCGCGUGGGUGAAGAAGGCCUUCGGGUUGUAAAGCCCUUUUGUUGGGAAAGAAAAGCAGCAGGUUAAUACCCCGCUGUUCUGACGGUACCCAAAGAAUAAGCACCGGCUAACUUCGUG